rnacentral:sRNA from 1 species
AGUGGCCGCGUGGUGCAUGCCGUUCCGAGCACCGACCUCACUUGCCUGACAGCGGCUCGCUACGUUCUGUUCGCC